rnacentral:tRNA from 1 species
GCUGGCGUAGCUUAAUUGGUAGAGCAACGGUUUUGUAAACCGUAGAUUACAGGUUCGAAUCCUGUCGUUAGCUCCA